rnacentral:rRNA from 1 species
AGGGCACCACCCGGAUUGGACCCUGCGGCUUAUUUUGACUCAACGCGGGAAAUCUCACCAGGCCCGGACACCGGAAGGAUUGACAGAUUGAAAGCUUUUUCUUGAUUCGGGGGGGGGGGGGGCAUGGCCGUUCUAAGUUGGUGGAGCGAUUUGUCUGGUUAAUUCCGAUAACAAGGCAAACUCUGGCCUACUAACUAGACAGGGAAUCCCUUCGAGGGUUCUCUACUGCUUCUUAGAGGGACGGGCGGCGUUGUGCCCCACGAGAAUGAGCAAUAACAGGUCUGUGAUGCCCUUCGAUGUUCUGGGCUGCACACGCUCUACACUGAAGGAAUCAUCGUGACCUCCCCGCCCUGAAUAGGGUGGGUAACCCUUUCAGACUCCUUCCUGAUGGGGAUUGGAGAUUGUAAUUAUUCUCCAUGAACUAGGAAUUCCCAGUAGGCGCGAGUCAUCAGCUUGCGUCUAUUACGUCCCUGCCCUUUUACACACCGCCCGUCGCUACUACCGAUCGAGUGAUUUAGU